rnacentral:rRNA from 1 species
GACGAACGCUGGCGGCGUGCUUAACACAUGCAAGUCGAACGAAGUGGCGAACGGGUGAGUAACGCGUAAUCAACCUGCUCUUCAGAGGGGGACAACAGUUGGAAACGACUGCUAAUACCGCAUACUGAAGGAGGGGAUGGCGUCCGUUUAGGUAGUUGGAGGGGGAACGGCCUACCAAGGCCAUGAUCAGUAGCCGGUCUGGGAAGAUGAACGGCCACAUCGGGGCCGGGGAAAGGCCCCGACUCCUACGGGAGGCAGCCGUGGGGAAUCUUUCGGAAUGGACGGAAGUCUGACGGGGCAACGGCGCGGGAAGGAUGACGGCCUUCGGGUUGGAAAGCUCUGUUAAUCGGGACGCGGUACCGGAAUAGAAAGCCACGGCUAACUACGUGCCAGCCGCCGCGGUAAUUC